rnacentral:rRNA from 1 species
CUCCUACGGGAGGCAGCAGUGAGGAAUAUUGGUCAAUGGGCGAGAGCUGAACCAGCCAAGUAGCGUGAAGGAUGACUGCCCUAUGGGUUGUAAACUUCUUUUAUAAAGGAAUAAAGUCGGGUAUGGAUACCCGUUUGCAUGUACUUUAUGAAUAAGGAUCGGCUAACUCCGUGCCAGCAGCCGCGGUAAUACGGAGGAUCCGAGCGUUAUCCGGAUUUAUUGGGUUUAAAGGGAGCGUAGAUGGAUGUUUAAGUCAGUUGUGAAAGUUUGCGGCUCAACCGUAAAAUUGCAGUUGAUACUGGCAGUCUUGAAUGCAGUAGAGGUGGGCGGAAUUCGUGGUGUAGCGGUGAAAUGCUUAGAUAUCACGAAGAACUCCGAUUGCGAAGGCAGCUCACUGGAGUGUAACUGACGCUGAUGCUCGAAAGUGUGGGUAUCAAACAGGAUUAGAUACCCUGGUAGUCCACACAGUAAACGAUGAAUACUCGCUGUUUGCGAUAUACAGUAAGCGGCCAAGCGAAAGCAUUAAGUAUUCCACCUGGGGAGUACGCCGGCAACGGUGAAACUCAAAGGAAUUGACGGGGGCCCGCACAAGCGGAGGAACAUGUGGUUUAAUUCGAUGAUACGCGAGGAACCUUACCCGGGCUUAAAUUGCAAAUGAAUUAUGGGGAAACCCAUACGCCGCAAGGCAUUUGUGAAGGUGCUGCAUGGUUGUCGUCAGCUCGUGCCGUGAGGUGUCGGCUUAAGUGCCAUAACGAGCGCAACCCUUAUCUUCAGUUACUAACAGGUCAUGCUGAGGACUCUGGAGAGACUGCCGUCGUAAGAUGUGAGGAAGGUGGGGAUGACGUCAAAUCAGCACGGCCCUUACGUCCGGGGCUACACACGUGUUACAAUGGGGGGUACAGAAGGCCGCUACCUGGUGACAGGAUGCCAAUCCCAAAAACCUCUCUCAGUUCGGAUCGAAGUCUGCAACCCGACUUCGUGAAGCUGGAUUCGCUAGUAAUCGCGCAUCAGCCAUGGCGCGGUGAAUACGUUCCCGGGCCUUGUACACACCGC